rfam:Capsicum annuum cultivar Zunla-1 chromosome 2, whole genome shotgun sequence
UGGUGAUGAUGAGGGCGAUUCCUGAGCAUAAUCUUAAAUCUAUCCAAGCUUGGUAAAUAUUCUCUCCAUCUUUUUGCCUGAAACCCAGAAUCUCACUUCUCAAAUG